UUCCCGCGCAAAGAUGGGUCCAUAUAUUGGACCAUAACAGACCUGAAAACUGUCUAAAUCCAGCAAUGGUGGUGGCAUCUUGAAGGGCACAUCUUUCUCUAUCCAUUGAUGUUGUGUUUAAGCGCAAAGAGGGGUACAUAUAUUGGACCAUAACAGACCUGAAAACUGUCUAAAUCCAACAAACUUGGUAGCAUCUGAAAGAACACAUCUUUCUCUAUACAUUAAUGUUGUGUUCCCAAGCAAAGAUGGGUUCCUAUAUUAGACCAUAACAGACCUGAAAACUGUCCAAAUCCAGCAAUGGUGGUGGCAU